UACGUAGGGUGCGAGCGUUGUCCGGAAUUACUGGGCGUAAAGAGCUCGUAGGCGGUUUGUCGCGUCUGCCGUGAAAACCCGAGGCUUAACCUCGUGGCUUGCGGUGGAUACGGGCAGACUAGAGGUAGGUAGGGGAGAAUGGAAUUCCCGGUGUAGCGGUGAAAUGCGCAGAUAUCGGGAGGAACACCCGUGGCGAAGGCGGCUCUCUGGGACGGUACUGACGCUGAGACGCGCAA
rnacentral:rRNA from 1 species